rnacentral:tRNA from 1 species
GCGAAGCGUACAAUCUUAGAUUGACGUUGUCAUUUGUCGCUUGCCAAGGUUAGGGUCGAGGGUUCGAAUCCCUUCGCCCGCUCCA